UUUCAGUUCCGUUCAGUUUUACUAUGUCUGUCUACACGGAGAAAAAUUAGCUCGGCAAGCGCAGCGACAUGAAGCGGUACAAAUGCCUGCAUAUAGAUCCGUCCAAUGGACGUGUCUCUGAUGAGCAAAUGCAAUUAUGUGGAGUGUGGUCGGGAUGCAGGGUUAUGAACAGAGCCACCAAAUGGAGCAGGAACUCCUUCCCCGGUGGCUGUGCACAUGCUUGUUUGCAUGUGGAAGACCACGCUGAUGACAGACAAGCCACAGCAGGAAAAGCCAAAGGAUAACAUGAGAUAACACACAUCCGAAGCCACUGAAACACUCAAACGCACAGCAGAGGCUAGGAAAAUAGUGGUAACAUAAUCAGAUGCUUUUUAAUUAUGUUCAAAAAAUACCUUAUAAAAAAAGGUUAAUAAUACUAAGAAGAGUGACAUAUAUUCACAGCCAUCUGUUGAUGCACGCAUAUAUCUCACCACAGCUGCUCGUGAUCCUUUUGGCGUCGAGAAAUCAGCGCUCAAAUAUGAUUAAUAAGUAAUUUCUUUGUCAACAACUGACUGGGGAUGGCCUGCUAUGACGACAGCGGCGAUAACGACAACGACAACGACAACGAGAACGAGAACGGGAACGAAACGACGCCAUGGAAGUCUUU